rnacentral:rRNA from 1 species
AAACUGCGAAUGGCUCAUUAAAUCAGUUAUCGUUUAUUUGAUAGUACCUUACUACUUGGAUAACCGUGGUAAUUCCAGAGCUAAUACAUGCUAAAAACCCCGACUUCGGAAGGGGUGUAUUUAUUAGAUAAAAAACCGAUGCUCUUCGGGGCUCCUUGGUGAUUCAUAAUAACUUAACGAAUCGCAUGGCCUUGUGCCGGCGAUGGUUCAUUCAAAUUUCUGCCCUAUCAACUUUCGAUGGUAGGAUAGUGGCCUACCAUGGUUUCAACGGGUAACGGGGAAUUAGGGUUCUAUUCCGGAGAGGGAGCCUGAGAAACGGCUACCACAUCCAAGGAAGGCAGCAGGCGCGCAAAUUACCCAAUCCCGACACGGGGAGGUAGUGACAAUAAAUACUGAUACAGGGCUCUUUUGAGUCUUGUAAUUGGAAUGAGUACAAUUUAAAUCCCUUAACGAGGAACAAUUGGAGGGCAAGUCUGGUGCCAGCAGCCGCGGUAAUUCCAGCUCCAAUAGCGUAUAUUAAAGUUGUUGCAGUUAAAAAGCUCGUAGUUGAACCUUGGGCCUGGCUGGCCGGUCCGCCUCAC